GCUCUGAACAGUGGCACAACAAAGGGUAAAAUGGUCCAUUAAAGACCGAAAAGCUCUCGCACGUGUCCACAUGACACAACCUUUAUUUACAAGCCUAAAGAGGCCACCAACCCAACUAAAAUGGGACUUAUAAGCCUUCGGCUGCCCCUCUACAUGUUUUACAAGGCAUGAACAUGCCAACAGACACGGACAGAUAUAAGCAUUACAUCAAACAUCCUGUUUCAAAGUUUGUCCGUGACA
rnacentral:lncRNA from 1 species